AAACAUGUCUUUUUGUAUUUUAUUUAAAGUCUAACCUGCCCACCGAAYUAUUUUAAAUGGCCGCAGUAAUUUGACUGUGCAAAGGUAGCAUAAUAAUUAGUCUUUUAAUUGAAGGCUUGAAUGAAUGGUUGGACGAAGUAUAAACUGUUUCAUAUAAAUUUAUUUUAGAAUUUUAUUUUUUAGUUAAAAAGCUAAAAUUUUAUUAAAAGACGAGAAGACCCUAUAAAUCUUUAUAUUUUAUGUUAUUUAAAUAUUUUAAAUUUAUUUAAUUUUUAUAGUAUAAAAUAUUUUAUUGGGGUGAUAAUAAAAUUUAAUUAACUUUUAGUUUUAAAAUCAUUAAUUUAUGAAUUGUUGAUCCAUUAAUAUUGAUUAUAAGAUUAAGUUACUUUAGGGAUAACAGCGUAAUUUUUUUUGAGAGUUCAUAUCGAUAAAAAAGUUUGCGACCUCGAUGUUGGAUUAAGAUAUAUUUUUGGGUGUAGCUGUUCAAAUAAUAAGUCUGUUCGACUUUUAAAUUCUUACAUGAUC
rnacentral:rRNA from 1 species